AACGUAGGGCCCGUGAGUUGUCCGGAAUCACUGGGUGUAAAGGGUGCGUAGGCGGACGUGCGCGUCUGGGGUGAAAGGCUCCAGCUCAACCGGAGACAUGCCCUGGGUACGGCACGUCUUGGGUGCGGGAGAGGGCGAUGGAAUUCCUGGUGUAGCGGUGAAAUGCGUAGAGAUCAGGAGGAACACCGGUGGCGAAGGCGGUCGCCUGGCCCGCAACCGACGCUGAGGCACGAAAGCGUGGGGAGCAAACAGG
rnacentral:rRNA from 1 species